AGUAUUUAAAGGACUGAUGUAUGUGUGAAAGUUUUAUCAGUGAAAUUCGAAGAUGAGGGGAGAAACGCUCCUUCCUUUGUACCGGACGAAAAAGCCAGUAAAGAUGAGAGAUUUUAAACGGGCAUACAUGAGACCGAAUACCCAAUUACAUCAACACCUUUACUCCACUUUCAAAGAAAAGAAAGAUUCCGUUUCAGUAAAGAUGCAGUUGUCAUUAGGUCAGCUCGCAGGAAGCUUACUGAAUAUCUCACAUACAUCACAGGAACCACGAGAGAUCUAUAAAACUUCGAACGAAAACGACAUUUGAUAUA